AAAUUUUGUUAGAGUAAAAGAUAUUUUACUUCAGUUAUAACUUUUUUUUUCUUUUUACUUAGUAGGAAACUUAAAGCCUGCGGCAAAUUCUCAAAUCCGAGCUUAAGGAAGAGGAAAAGGCAAAGCUUCUUACUGUUGCAAUGACUUCAUAAGAGCUGCUUGAGGAGCCUGAAGCCCUAAACUCUCAGGGUGAAUGUCCCCACAGCUGGUCAGUGAGAGCAUGAGAGUCAUGCAAGGGGAGGCUAGACCAUGUCACCAUGUCACCAGAUCGAUUCACUCUGUGAUCCAGUCUGUUUCCCGUACCUUUAACUGCGUAUUGAGCUAAUGAAAACUGAAAGCACAGACACCGACUCAAAGCAAAGCCUUCAUUCACUCAAGUAGGUUCUGCAAGUAUUUAGUAAGCGUGGUGGAGAGAU
rnacentral:lncRNA from 1 species